GACGAACGCUGGCGGCGUGCCUAAUACAUGCAAGUCGAACGCACUGACGUCGACCGAAGCUGCUUGCAGUGGACGUUGAUUGACGUGAGUGGCGGACGGGUGAGUAACACGUGGGUAACCUACCCUUAAGCGGGGGAUAACAUUUGGAAACAGAUGCUAAUACCGCAUAACCAUUCAGACCACAUGGUCUGAAUGUAAAAGACGGCCUUUGGCUGUCACUUUUGGACGGACCCGCGGCGUAUUAGUUAGUUGGUAAGGUAACGGCUUACCAAGACAAUGAUACGUAGCCGACCUGAGAGGGUAAUCGGCCACAUUGGGAAUGAGACACGGCCCAAACUCCUACGGGAGGCAGCAGUAGGGAAUCUUCCACAAUGGACGAAAGUCUGAUGGAGCAACGCCGCGUGAGUGAAGAAGGUUUUAGGAUCGUAAAACUCUGUUGUUGGAGAAGAACAGGGACUAGAGUAACUGUUAGUCCUUUGACGGUAUCCAACCAGAAAGCCACGGCUAACUACGUGCCAGCAGCCGCGGUAAUACGUAGGUGGCAAGCGUUGUCCGGAUUUAUUGGGCGUAAAGCGAGCGCAGGCGGUUUUUUAAGUCUGAUGUGAAAGCCUUCGGCUUAACCGAAGAAGUGCAUUAGAAACUGGGAAACUUGAGUGCAGAAGAGGACAGUGGAACUCCAUGUGUAGCGGUGAAAUGCGUAGAUAUAUGGAAGAACACCAGUGGCCGAAGGCGGCUGUCUGGUCUGUAACUGACGCUGAGGCUCGAAAGUAUGGGGAGCGAACAGGAUUAGAUACCCUGGUAGUCCAUACCGUGAACGAUGAAUGCUAAGUGUUGGAGGGUUUCCGCCCUUCAGUGCUGCAGCUAACGCAUUAAGCAUUCCGCCUGGGGAGUACGACCGCAAGGUUGAAACUCAAAGGAAUUGACGGGGGCCCGCACAAGCGGUGGAGCAUGUGGUUUAAUUCGAAGCAACGCGAAGAACCUUACCAGGUCUUGACAUCCUUUGACCACUGUAGAGAUACAGCUUUCCCUUCGGGGACAAAGUGACAGGUGGUGCAUGGUUGUCGUCAGCUCGUGUCGUGAGAUGUUGGGUUAAGUCCCGCAACGAGCGCAACCCUUAUGACUAGUUGCCAGCAUUUAGUUGGGCACUCUAGUAAGACUGCCGGUGACAAACCGGAGGAAGGUGGGGAUGACGUCAAAUCAGCAUGCCCCUUAUGACCUGGGCUACACACGUGCUACAAUGGUCGGUACAACGAGUUGCGAACCCGCGAGGGUAAGCUAAUCUCUUAAAGCCGAUCUCAGUUCGGAUUGUAGGCUGCAACUCGCCUACAUGAAGCCGGAAUCGCUAGUAAUCGCGGAUCAGCACGCCGCGGUGAAUACGUUCCCGGGCCUUGUACACACCGCCCGUCACACCAUGAGAGUUUGUAACACCCGAAGUCGGUGGGGUAACCCUUUUAGGGAACUAGCCGCCUAAGGUGGGACAGAUGAUUGGGGUG
rnacentral:rRNA from 1 species